rnacentral:rRNA from 1 species
AAUCAACGCUGGCGGCGUGCCUCAGACAUGCAAGUCGAACGCGAAAUUUCCCUUCGGGGAGAAAGUAGAGUGGCGCACGGGUGAGUAACACGUAGGUAAUUUGCCUUUGGGUGGGGAAUAACUCAGGGAAACUUGAGCUAAUACCGCAUAAUGCAGCGGCUCGACAUCGAGACAGUUGUUAAAGCGGGGGAUCGCAAGACCUCGCGCCUAAAGAGAAGCCUGCGGCAGAUUAGCUAGUUGGUAAGGUAAUGGCUUACCAAGGCGACGAUCUGUAACCGGCCUGAGAGGGCGGUCGGUCACACUGACACUGACAUACGGGUCAGACUCCUACGGGAGGCAGCAGUCGGGAAUUUUGGGCAAUGGGCGAAAGCCUGACCCAGCAACGCCGCGUGAAGGAUGAAAUUUUCGGAAUGUAAACUUCGCAAGAACAGGAAGAAUAAGUAGAAGCGAAUACCUUCUAUGAUGACGGUAC